AUUGAACGCUGGCGGCAGGCCUAACACAUGCAAGUCGAGCGGAGCGGCGGACGGGUGAGUAAUGCCUAGGAAUCUGCCUGGUAGUGGGGGAUAACGUCCGGACACGGGCGCUCAUACCGCAUACUAUCAGAUGAGCCUAGGGCGGAUUAGCUAGUUUGGGGGUUAACGGCCUACCAAGGCGACGAACCGUAACUGGUCUGAGAGGAUGAUCAGUCACACUGCAACUGAGACACGGUCCCGACUCCUGAGGUAGGCAGCAGUGGGGAAUAUUGGACAAUGGGCGAAAGCCUGAUCCAGCCAUGCCGCGUGUGUGAAGAAGGUCUUCGGAUUGUAAAGCACUUUAAGUUGGGAGGCGUUACCAAAAGAAUAAGCACCGGCUAACUUCGUGCCAGCAGCCGCGGUAAUUC
rnacentral:rRNA from 1 species